UACAGAGGGUGCGAGCGUUACUCGGAUUUACUGGGCGUAAAGCGUGUGUAGGUGGCUACCUAAGUCGAUUGUGAAAUCCCUGGGCUCAACCUGGGAAUUGCAGUCGAUACUGGGAAGCUCGAGUUCGGUAGAGGACGGCGGAAUUCCCGGUGUAGCAGUGAAAUGCGUAGAUAUCGGGAGGAACAUCCGUGGCGAAGGCGGCUACCUGGACCAGCACUGACACUGAGGCACGAAAGCGUGGGGAGCAAACAGG
rnacentral:rRNA from 1 species